rnacentral:rRNA from 1 species
UACGAAGGGGGGCUAGCGUUGCUCGGAAUCACUGGGCGUAAAGGGUGCGUAGGCGGGUCUUUAAGUCAGGGGUGAAAUCCUGGAGCUCAACUCCAGAACUGCCUUUGAUACUGAGGAUCUUGAGUUCGGGGAGAGGUGAGUGGAACUGCGAGUGUAGAGGUGAAAUUCGUAGAUAUUCGCAAGAACACCAGUGGCGAAGGCAGCUCACUGGCCCGAUACUGACGCUGAGGCACGAAAGCGUGGGGAGCAAACAGG